GCCGGGUGUGGUGGUGCACACCUGCAAUCCCAGCUGCUUGGGAGGCUGAGGCAGGAGAAUCACUUGAGCCCAGGAGGUGGAGGUUGCAGUGAGCCGCGAUGGCGCCAUUGCACUCCAGCCUGGGUGACAGAGUGAGACUCUGUCUUAA
rnacentral:SRP_RNA from 2 species